GAUGAAGAACGCAGCGAAAUGCGAUACGUAAUGUGAAUUGCAGAAUUCAGUGAAUCAUCGAGUCUUUGAACGCACAUUGCGCCCCCUGGUAUUCCGGGGGGCAUGCCUGUCCGAGCGUCAUUGCUGCCCUCAAGCACGGCUUGUGUGUUGGGCCUCCGUCCGCCUCCCGGGGGACGGGCCCGAAAGGCAGCGGCGGCACCGCGUCCGGUCCUCGAGCGUAUGGGGCUUCGUCACCCGCUCUUGUAGGCCCGGCCGGCGCUUGCCGACACAUCAAUCUUUUUUCCAGGUUGACCUCGGAUCAGGUAGGGAUACCCGCUGAACUUAAGCAUAUCAAUAAGCGGAGGA
rnacentral:misc_RNA from 1 species